GAGGAAAAGCUCUCAGCACGGCUUUGACGUUGCGCUCCUGAAAUACAGCUUGAGAAGCUCUUCUCAGGGCUACACAGAGCACAAAGACUCCACCCACAUGAUGAGGAGGACCGCUGCCAGUGGUCUAAGAUUCAUAUCCUUCCAGCAAGCAGACCACAGAGAUCUAAGAAGACUCGUCGAUUUUUCAGUUCGUUCAGCUUUUUGCUCGUUGUUAGGACAGAGAUGACUUCUAAGUGCCUUACAUGGGGACUGAAUGUAUAUGAUCCUUUCAAGAUUGACAACAAGACAAAGAUAUCUGCGGCCAUUGCCUCUAUUCAAC
rnacentral:lncRNA from 1 species